GGAAAUUCAACGGAUGUCACGCCCUUUUCGUAAUAGAUCAUGUUAAAAAGCAUGUGACUUUUAUCGACUUUACACCGACUCAAGAUUGGUGUAAACACAUGCCAUACAAGAGGUUUGCGGAAGCGAUUAUCAUGGCCUCAAAGAAAUAUAAGAUUGCUUACAGCAAAAAACGUUCUGGAUGGGCGGAGGAUAUCUUUAAGUGGGAACAUACAAUUCAGACUGGCGUUCCAAUUGACUUAAGAGGGUUUAAUACCAGCUACCUCGUUCUACAAGCUAUGGCCAUGUGGGGGAAUGACAGACGAAUGAAAUUUGUUGGGG
rnacentral:misc_RNA from 1 species